GCCGAGAUACCAAAGUGGUCAAAUGGAGCGGUCUGUAAAACCGUUGGCUUUUGCCUUCGAAGGUUCAAAUCCUUCUCUCGGCACCA
rnacentral:tRNA from 1 species